rnacentral:lncRNA from 1 species
CUGGGAGUGGAGUUAGAUUGAAAAACUAAAUGGUGCAAUAUGCUGUCGAAAACAUCAUUCACAGCCACACUUACGAGUAGAUACCGGAUUGUGAGUGCUCCCCCAUUCUGUGGCUGCUAUCAAGCAGCGUAGUUUUGGAGUGCAUUAUAACUAUUGGCUAUGGGAAAACAGAGACUUGUGGAAUACCUUUUUUCCCCAUUAUUACUCC